rnacentral:rRNA from 1 species
GACGAACGCUGGCGGCGUGCCUAAUACAUGCAAGUAGAACGCUGAAGAGAGGAGCUUGCUCUUCUUGCAUGAGUUGCGAACGGGUGAGUAACGCGUAGAUAACCUGCCUUGUAGCGGGGGAUAACUAUGGGAAACGAUAGCUAAUACCGCAUAACAAUGGAUGACACAUGGCAUUUAUUUGAAAGGCGGAAUUGCUCCACUACAAGAUGGACCUGCGUUGUAUUAGGUUGUAGGUGAGGUAAUCGCUCUACUAGGCGGAGAUACAUAGCCGAACUGAGAGGGUGGUUGGCCAACCUGGGACCGAGACCCGGCCCAGGCCGCUUCGGGGAGGCGCCAGAAGGGAACCUCCGGAAUUGGGGGAAACCUUGCCGAACAACGCCGCGUGAGGGGAGAAGGGUUUCGGGUCGGUAAGAUCUGUUGUAAGGCGAGAACGGGUUUGAGAGUGGAAAGUGCACACUGUGACGGUAGCUUACCAGAAAGCGACGGCUAACUACGUG